CUUUGCCAAGACCACGUCGUGGGCUACGGGAUGCUAGAAAUCCAUUGGAAUCGUACGAGGAUCGAGAUCGGUAUCGACUGUCAAAAGAAACCGUCAUUUACAUCAUCAACAUGCUGGAAGCCGAAUUGAAGAGGGACACACAGAGGAAUGAUCCACUUCCCGUUUAUUUGCAGGUGUUGACGGCUCUCCGUUUUUAUGUGGAUCAUUUCAAAAGAUGCAUGGUGAUGAGGUAGCAAUAUCACAGUCAUCAAAUGAAUGUGUCAAAUCAUCAAAGAUGUUUCGGAAGCUAUAGCAAGAAGGAAGAGGCAAUACAUGAAGUUUCCUUCGACAAGAGAACAAGUUGAAGCAACUCAGCGACAGUUCUACCAGUACUGUAGAUAUAUCAGGAGCCCUGGUGGGGAUCAGGCAAUAUACUUCCUCAACAGGAAGAGUAGAUACUCGGUCAAUGUACAGGUUGUUUGUGAUCAGGCUGGGAAAAUAACAAGCAUCGUUGCCAGAUGGCCUGGCAGCACACCUAACUCCGCAACCGUAAGUCACUUUUCAACCAAACUUGGAUGGUAAAUGUACUUAGGCGACCUGCAUGUUAUGCUGCAGUCGGAGGUCACAUGGUAAGGUCAAAGUGUUCCACAAUGGACAUAAGUUUUUGUAGAAAUGUACCAAACCCGACGGUGCUCUCACUCCAUGAUGUGUCACUGCAUCGUAGCAAUCCAGUCGGAUUUGAAAUGGUCUACACAUGUUGAAUAUAUGGUCAAGCGCGCAAAUAGUCGUUUAUAUGUUCUUCGCACUUUGAAAUAUCAUAGUCUGUAAUUUCAGGACCUUAUAGUUGUAUAUACUAGUUUCGUGAGACCAGUUGUUGAAUAUGCUGUACCUGUAUGGUCAGGAGCACUAACAAAACAACAAGUACAAGUAAUCGAACGUAUUCAGAAACGUGCCCUUAGAAUCAUUUUUGGAGCAGCAUAUUCUUCAUAUGAGCAUGCUUUACUCCAGUCAGAACUGAUGUCUCUUGAAGAUAGAUGGAUCAAACUCUUGUCUUGCGUUUGCGAAGUCUAUGCAAAUCCCCACGUCUAAACUGUAUCACCUUCUACCUCAAAAUAGGACUUGUCAAUAUCAGACUAGAAGCUUGGCCAGAACAGUAGAGAUGCGAUGUCGAACUUCACGAUAUAGAAAUAGCCCCUUGCCCUCGUUGAUUCGGCACCUUAAAGAGAAAUUCCAGUAGUUGCAGUAAACACUGAUUUCAUGAGAAAGUCUGUAAAACAAGACUUAAUUGUCAGUAUAUCAUCGAGGAUCUAGAUCUGGUACAGUUACAUAAACUGAACUUUGUGAAAUCUUGAAAUCUAUGCUGAAAAAUGUUCAGGCUGAAGAUCCCCAACACAGAUAAGCGCACGUGGGACAGUGUAUAAUUAUUGCUUCGAAUGUCGGGCCCGACGCUCUACCCGAAUCCUGUGCUUAUUUGCUGAUUUCUCAGCAAUUACACAAUUUCUUCCAGAAUCCUUUGGCACAUAUGUUUUAUUUAUACAAACAGACACUUUGGUGGUCAUUUCAUUGGAUUCUGUACGAACUCAUUUUGAUAUCGUUA